GACGAAGGAUGCAAGCGUUAUCCGGAUUCAUUGGGUUUAAAGGGUGCGUAGGCGGCCAGAUAAGUCAGUGGUGAAAUCCUGUUGCUUAACAACAGAACUGCCAUUGAUACUGUUUGGCUUGAGUAUAGUUGCUGUGGGCGGAAUAUGGCAUGUAGUGGUGAAAUACAUAGAGAUGUCAUAGAACACCGAUUGCGAAGGCAGCUCACAAAACUAUAACUGACGCUGAGGCACGAAAGUGCGGGGAUCAAACAGG
rnacentral:rRNA from 1 species